GGCCUUAUGGGUUGGGAGGGAGGAGUGGGCAGAGAAUUGCAUUGUACUGUACAAAACUUUGUCAAACAGGUCAAAAUUUGACUUGAGUAUAUAGAAUUGGCAGUUUGGAAAAAAUUCUAAUAUCCUGGUGUCAUUACAUAGUUGAUAAAUUUGAUCCUGAUUGGCAGAUUUGACCUAAAAAUAAUCAAAAGAUAAUAAAAAUGAAAAACCCAGUGGUGAGUUUUAGAAGAACUAUUUUCAAGGAUAUAAUUAGGCUGGUACUAGGACUUGAAGAAAGCCUUGUGCAGUGAUUACCUGGAAAUUGCUCUGUUUUAGGGAUGUUUUCCGGAACUGUCCAUAACGUCACUAGCAAAUGCAGAAACCAGUUAGUCGAGAUAAAUGUGCUGCUUAGGCAUUGUUCCAAUUGAAUUAUUCCGUGAUCAAAGUAAUGUUUGUGUCCUCACAUCCCACAAAAUUGAUGACAGUGUAAUCUCUGUGAGUUCUUAAUGAUGAUAAGAGUCUCAGUCUGAGUGGUGAGAGUGGUAACGUUCACAUCCAAAUGGAGAGUUUCCCACGGUUGGGACAGCACAGACCUUUGUAGCAAAUAAUGAAAUGAACCUUUUCUAAUCAUUCUGUUUCCUGUGAGCAAAUAUUCUAUUCCUCAUUGUCCAUAAUGAAAUCCUAGUAAGUGCAGGGUAGCUAUAACAAAACCUUAAUCACCAGCAAUAUUUACCCUACCUGUGAUUCAUUAUCAUCUAUUUUCUAGUUCUGAACAGGACCUGCUGUUCGUUCUCUUCUGCACAGAACAAGAGACCAAGCUGAUGAAACUGUCACCUUUGAGCAAGGCGUAGGGUAUAUGUCACAUGAAAUAUUUAUUGUAUAGUUUAGCUCUGAAAACAUUGUUAAAAAUAUUGUUCCUUAUUUGCUGUUCCAAAGUAAAAACAAAAUGUAGUUACCUACCAUCUGUUUCUUUGAACAGAUGUCCAUAUAUUUUAAGUAUUAGUUACUUUAAUGAGCUAGAAUUACAGUUCUGGGGAACUUUGGGCUCUUCUUGAGUUGGUCCCGUGCUUGAUGCACCUUCUGACCUUCCUUGUUCCCCUUUAUGAGAUCAUUUACAGUAAAGCCAAGAGAAGUAAAUAAAUUGAUAUGAAGUGUGUGGACAGCUUGUUACUUAUCUCCUGAUGUUUCCAGAGAAAUGUGAGAAAACAGAUUAAUAUGCAUAUAGUAUUUUUUUCACUUCUUUUAAUACCUUUUUAUCAAUUUGGAUUUUUUUAUUUCAGUACAUUAAUCUGAUGUGUGUGUAUCAGAGCAUCUUUGUUAUAUCUAGAAAACAGUUCCUUCUCAAAUAUCUAAUUGCAACAGGAACUAGGAAGGGUUUCACACUGUUCUGUAGAUAUUUUGCUGUGAGAACAAUGUAACAGCUUUCUAGAACUAUGAAAGCGUUUGGGCUGUGUUUGGGUACAUGAGGCAGAGAAUUCAAGCUGCUCUGGCAGCCAGUUCUCUUCUGUGUGAUGAGAACAGCAAAACUGCUGUCGUGUAUCAGAUGAAGGCUCUGCCUGAUCUGGUGUCCUGUCUCCAGCAGGACCUGCCCUGACCAGGAGCCCAAGGUAUAGCAAAAAUAGGGCAAGACUAUAUUGUACUGGUAGUAGUUUCUCUUCCUGGUGCUUAGUCCACAAAUCCUACCUCUCUCUUUGACCAGGGCUACUUGGUACAGUGUACAGCAAGUGAAGACGGUAAGUGCUCAACAGUGAGUACAGUGUCUAAGGUUGUGCUGGCAGAGAUAGGUCAGGAUGUGUUUUCAGGCCCUAAAACUGGAACAAGGGGGAAUCUACAUGGCUGUCCUUUCAAACAGAACAAUCCAGGUGGAGGACUUGGAGGAAUUCUGGAAAGACAAGACCAGAUCCCAGUUCUUAUGCGUAUCAUAUGUGAGGAAAGCAAGCAUAAUGAGGGGAAAAAUAUGCAUUUUCCCAGCUCAGCAAUCUAGGGUGAUAUCCAUGGAGGAACAUCACCCUGGUCUGUGUAACCUGCUCUGAUCUGGAAAGGCGGGAAAUCCACUGAGAAGAUCAUUGCUGCUUUGUAUUGCAGUUCUGGAACUGGCAAUAACUGUAAAGCCUUUCCUGUUAGCAGCACAGGACUGACAGCAUAAAGACUGAAGAUUUGUAGGGAUAAUGCAUGAGUCUGAGAGAUAAAGGGAGCUAUAAAGGGGGAAGCAGCCAGGAGGGCACCAGAGUGAACUGCCCACAGCUCCCGAGAGGUCGUGCCCCAGGUUUGGAGGUGCUUCUGUAAGGAAUCAGUAUGGAACCAGAGGAGUACAGACAGAGAGGGAAAGAGAUGGUGGAUUACAUUUGCCAGUACCUGAGCAAUGUGAGAGAGAGACGGGUGACUCCUGAUGUACAGCCAGGUUACAUGAGAGCCCAGUUGCCGGAUUCUGCCCCAAUGGAUCCAGACAGCUGGGACAACAUCUUUGGAGAUAUAGAGAAGAUUAUUAUGCCAGGGGUAGUCCAUUGGCAAAGUCCACACAUGCAUGCCUACUUUCCAGCUCUUACUUCCUGGCCUUCACUCCUUGGAGAUAUGUUGGCUGAUGCAAUUAACUGCUUGGGAUUCACAUGGGCCUCCAGCCCAGCCUGUACAGAACUGGAAAUGAAUGUGAUGGAUUGGUUGGCCAAAAUGCUGGGACUUCCAGAGAAAUUCCUGCACUACCAUCCUGACAGUGUGGGUGGAGGAGUAUUACAGAGCACUGUGAGCGAAUCCACCUUGGUUGCACUGCUAGCAGCAAGGAAGAACAAAAUUCUGGAGAUGAAGGUUUCCGAGCCAAACACCGAUGAGUCCUCGCUCAAUUCUCGCCUCAUCGCUUAUGCAUCUGAUCAGGCACAUUCUUCUGUAGAAAAGGCUGGGUUGAUUUCCCUUGUGAAGAUAAAAUUUCUGCCUGUGGAUGAGAACUUUUCCCUCAGAGGUGAAACUUUGAAGAAAGCCAUUGCAGAAGACAAGAAGAAAGGCCUUGUGCCAGUCUUUGUUUGUGCAACAUUGGGUACAACUGGUGUCUGUGCUUUUGACAGUCUCUCAGAACUGGGUCCAAUUUGUGAUGCUGAGGGACUCUGGCUUCAUAUUGAUGCUGCAUAUGCAGGAACAGCAUUUGUAUGUCCUGAAUUUAGGCUGUUCUUGGAUGGAAUUGAAUAUGCAGAUUCCUUUACUUUUAACCCUUCUAAAUGGAUGAUGGUUCAUUUUGACUGCACUGGAUUUUGGGUUAAGGAUAAAUACAAAUUACAUCAAACCUUCAGUGUUAACCCUGUCUACCUCAGACAUGCCAACUCAGGAGCUGCAAUUGACUUCAUGCACUGGCAGAUUCCACUGAGUCGCCGAUUCCGGUCUUUGAAGCUGUGGUUUGUGCUUCGCUCGUUUGGGGUGAAAAAGCUUCAAGCUCACGUCCGACAUGGUACUGAAACAGCCAAAUUCUUUGAGUCCUUGGUUAAAAGUGACCCGCUUUUUGAAAUUCCUGCGAAGAGGCAUCUUGGACUGGUUGUGUUUCGGCUAAAGGGUCCCAACUGGCUGACAGAAAAACUCCUGAAAGAACUAAGCAGUUCUGGCAGGCUCUUCCUCAUUCCAGCAACCAUUCAUGACAAGUUCAUCAUUCGCUUUACUGUAACGUCCCAGUUCACAACCAGGGAAGACAUUCUGCGAGACUGGAACAUCAUUCAACACACUGCAGCCCAAAUUGUUAGCCAGAAUUAUGGGCUGCACUGCAUCAAUUCUGAUUAUGGGGCAAGAAUCCCUGCUAUGGUAGUAGAGCCCAGUUCUGAUGCCAUUAGUAAUGCUUCCCAGCUUUAUCUAGAUGGAGGGAAAUCUAAACCACCUUCCAGAAAAACAGUAGUUAAGCCUAAGUUAUCGCUAGAUCAAGUCCUUCUUGUAGAAGAGGAAGAAGAUAAAAAGAGCUGCCUAAUAUAGGAAAAGCAAGAGGACUCUCAUUUUGAUGCCAAAGAAGGGACUGUAAGGAAUGACACUUCCAUACACCACAGAUGCAAACUGUAUGAGGUCUGUAUUGGACAUGAAGGAACAAAAAAUGUGAGCAAAGAAAUACAAAUAAGUAACUGUUUAGGAGACAAACAAGGGUUUGUUUUUCAAGUGAUCCCGAAGAUGGUCAGGUGAGGACAGAAGUGGAGUGAUACCACUAGAGUGCAUUGUAGAUGGUUAGUGCAUGGACAGCAUUGCAGGUAUCAAGGCCCAUGUGAGGGCAGUCUGGGGGUCAAAUGACUCGUAUAAAGGCUGGGAGGAAAAUGCUAUUUACCAUGAGUGAAGUUCUCUAGGUCAGACCAUAAAUGUGCUAGUUAGGAAAAGGAAAGUAUUUCUGCUUUGAUUGUACUUAGAUGAAGAUUGGUUUGUGUCCAGGAGGAGCUACCGUUAAAAAAGAAAGAAACAGAUCUGUGAGAUAUGGGAAAGAAUGCUUUCACUAAAAGAAAUUGUGAGCAGAAAUGACUCAGUCCAGAAGAAAAAUAAAAAAAAAUGGUAUAGCAUUCAGCAAAAGCUUGUUGCAAUUAUGGUGAGGACAAUUUUAGGGACCCUGUAAAGCAUCAAACACAUGUAGUAAGUAGGGAAAGAAGUAGUGUGCAGAGUCAGAAGAACUAUGUAAACUGAGUUGAUAAAGAAUGAUCCAAAGGUCCAAAACUAGCUGAUAAAUUGAAAAGGACAGAAAAGGAAGCAAGACCUUUGGAUUUAGCCACAAGCCAAUCAUUAAUUUUUUUAGAAGGUCAAUGCGAGUAAAGUGACCUUAGCAAAAUCAACUGAAUCUUAUAACAAGUAUUUGAGCAGAACUAGCAUAAACUGAGGUUUUUUAAAAAAAGAUGACUGAGCAGCAUUUUAAACGUGACUGGAAAUCUCCAGAGGCAGAUUGCUGCUGAAGAGCCCUUCGUGGAAAUGAAAUCCCUGACGGCAGCUGCAGGCGG